rnacentral:rRNA from 1 species
UACGGGGGGGCAAGCGUUGUUCGGAAUUACUGGGCGUAAAGGGCUCGUAGGCGGCCAACUAAGUCAGACGUGAAAUCCCUCGGCUUAACCGGGGAACUGCGUCUGGUACUGGUUGGCUUGAGUGUGGGAGAGGGAUGCGGAAUUCCAGGUGUAGCGGUGAAAUGCGUAGAUAUCUGGAGGAACACCGGUGGCGAAGGCGGCAUCCUGGACCAUUACUGACGCUGAGGAGCGAAAGCCAGGGGAGCAAACGGG